UACGGAGGUGGCAAGCGUUGCUCGGAAUCACUGGGCGUAAAGGGCGCGUAGGCGGGGAGGUAAGUCGGGUGUGAAAUCCCUCGGCCCAACUGAGGAACUGCGCCCGAGACUGCUUCUCUUGAGUCCCGGAGAGGAAGGUGGAAUUCCCGGUGUCGCGGUGAAAUGUGUAGAGAUCGGGAGGAACACCGGUGGCGAAGGCGGCCUUCUGGACGGUGACUGACGCUGAGGCGCGAAAGCGUGGGGAGCAAACGGG
rnacentral:rRNA from 1 species